AAAUUGAAGAGUUUGAUCAUGGCUCAGAUUGAACGCUGGCGGCAGGCCUAACACAUGCAAGUCGAACGGUAACAGGAAGCAGCUUGCUGCUUCGCUGACGAGUGGCGGACGGGUGAGUAAUGUCUGGGAAACUGCCUGAUGGAGGGGGAUAACUACUGGAAACGGUGGCUAAUACCGCAUAACGUCGCAAGACCAAAGAGGGGGACCUUCGGGCCUCUUGCCAUCAGAUGUGCCCAGAUGGGAUUAGCUUGUUGGUGAGGUAACGGCUCACCAAGGCGACGAUCCCUAGCUGGUCUGAGAGGAUGACCAGCCACACUGGAACUGAGACACGGUCCAGACUCCUACGGGAGGCAGCAGUGGGGAAUAUUGCACAAUGGGCGCAAGCCUGAUGCAGCCAUGCCGCGUGUAUGAAGAAGGCCUUCGGGUUGUAAAGUACUUUCAGCGGGGAGGAAGGUGUUGUGGUUAAUAACCACAGCAAUUGACGUUACCCGCAGAAGAAGCACCGGCUAACUCCGUGCCAGCAGCCGCGGUAAUACGGAGGGUGCAAGCGUUAAUCGGAAUUACUGGGCGUAAAGCGCACGCAGGCGGUCUGUCAAGUCGGAUGUGAAAUCCCCGGGCUCAACCUGGGAACUGCAUUCGAAACUGGCAGGCUUGAGUCUUGUAGAGGGGGGUAGAAUUCCAGGUGUAGCGGUGAAAUGCGUAGAGAUCUGGAGGAAUACCGGUGGCGAAGGCGGCCCCCUGGACAAAGACUGACGCUCAGGUGCGAAAGCGUGGGGAGCAAACAGGAUUAGAUACCCUGGUAGUCCACGCCGUAAACGAUGUCUACUUGGAGGUUGUGCCCUUGAGGCGUGGCUUCCGGAGCUAACGCGUUAAGUAGACCGCCUGGGGAGUACGGCCGCAAGGUUAAAACUCAAAUGAAUUGACGGGGGCCCGCACAAGCGGUGGAGCAUGUGGUUUAAUUCGAUGCAACGCGAAGAACCUUACCUGGUCUUGACAUCCACGGAAGUUUUCAGAAGAUGAGAAUGUGCCUUCGGGAACCGUGAGACAGGUGCUGCAUGGCUGUCGUCAGCUCGUGUUGUGAAAUGUUGGGUUAAGUCCCGCAACGAGCGCAACCCUUAUCCUUUGUUGCCAGCGGUCCGGCCGGGAACUCAAAGGAGACUGCCAGUGAUAAACUGGAGGAAGGUGGGGAUGACGUCAAGUCAUCAUGGCCCUUACGACCAGGGCUACACACGUGCUACAAUGGCGCAUACAAAGAGAAGCGACCUCGCGAGAGCAAGCGGACCUCAUAAAGUGCGUCGUAGUCCGGAUUGGAGUCUGCAACUCGACUCCAUGAAGUCGGAAUCGCUAGUAAUCGUGGAUCAGAAUGCCACGGUGAAUACGUUCCCGGGCCUUGUACACACCGCCCGUCACACCAUGGGAGUGGGUUGCAAAAGAAGUAGGUAGCUUAACCUUCGGGAGGGCGCUUACCACUUUGUGAUUCAUGACUGGGGUGAAGUCGUAACAAGGUAACCGUAGGGGAACCUGCGGUUGGAUCACCUCCUUA
rnacentral:rRNA from 2 species